rnacentral:tRNA from 1 species
UAUAUUAUAGUUUAAUAAAAACAUUAAUUUGCAAAUUUAAAGAUAUUUAUUUUAGAUUAGUAUAU